CCCUAGACCUAACCGAUGAAGCGGCGCACCCUCACUAUUCACCAUCUCCUUCACUGAGCUUGCCCUCAACUCGCCAUAACUCAUUUUCGAGUUCGCUCACAUGGUUCCCUCCCCUCCACGUCACCUUCAUUCCCAACGGAUUUGUCAGAAUAGUACGAAUAUUCCCUCAAAAUUGCACAAUUUUGGGUACAAAAGGAUGAUUUACUGGAUGAAUGGGAGUCCUGGAUAGAUGUAAAUCAAUCCACGCCCUUCAUUUGUCCCAAAAUUUUUCAAAAAGACCUGAAGAUUUUUCGGAUUUUGGCAGAAAUUUGAAGAUUUUUUGAAGGCUAUAUGUAUAUGAGUGUCGAGUUGGUUCAAAGUGGUCGAUUCCUAUUUUUUUGCUGUUCGUUUCAAGCUUUGAGUUGCGGCGUUGUUCGACUUGGUUUAAGUUGUAAUCACUGAAGUUUUGUCAAUUGAAAGCUACAAUUUCAGGUUCAUUCUUCAUUUUUUUUUUAUUAUUAAAUGAUUCUGUGCAGUGAUUGUUUUCUUUGAGCUUAUGAAUAGUGUAUUUCAAGUGCUGAAAAUGUGAAUUUAGUGCUUCGACGAAACGAACAAGUCUUUUUAUUCCUUUCUUCAGAUUGAUUUUUUUGUGAGCCGAAUUUGUGACUUUCUGUAGAUGGCUCCUUACUCUUCUGAAGUUCUUAUGUUUGCCUAGUUGUCUUGAGGUGUCCAAAUUUCCAGUGAAAUCUUGUUGUGUUUGCUGAAGAGGAACUAAACUUUAUGUUAGAUUGUAAAUUCAAUUUGAUUUUUCUGGGCUGAUUUUUCGAGUGCUGGAAGUAAAACUAUGGUGCUAUGUUGAAAUGUUUUGGUCGUGCAUUCAUUAUCUAUGAUCAGGCAUUGUUUGUUUCAUUCCCAGAUGUGCAUACAGUCUUGAGGCAUAUGGUUUAAGAAGUUUAAGGUUAUCACAAUCAUGAUUUAUGAAAAGUUGUCGAAUUGGCCUGAGUCUCCUCUCUCUAAUUAAUCUCUGAUGCUAGCAAGUUACUUUUGAUGAAGUUUAUUUACUGCUGAUGUUAAUUCCUAUGACGACCAAGUGAUCAGUAUGCCUAACGUGAUGACAACAGUAGCGAGACAGUCGUAACGUCAUUUGAUUUGCUGUGUAGCCCAUCUAAUUUCAAGAGUAUCCUGUCUCAUCUUCAUAGCUAAUUGAACUGUAUGUUGUAUCUGUACUAUUAAUUGUCCAGUUAAUUUCAUUACUCUUAGAGCUUAUAGAUGCCUAUGUGACUGUACUGAAGCAACAGACCUUUCUAUCGUUUUCUUGCUGCCUAUCUCGACUGAGUGAUGCUGAAAAUUCUUGUUUC